AGUGAACGCUGGCGGUAGGCCUAACACAUGCAAGUCGAACGGCAGCACAGUAAGAGCUUGCUCUUACGGGUGGCGAGUGGCGGACGGGUGAGGAAUACAUCGGAAUCUACUUUUUCGUGGGGGAUAACGUAAGGAAACUUACGCUAAUACCGCAUACGACCUACGGGUGAAAGCAGGGGAUCUUCGGACCUUGCGCGAUUGAAUGAGCCGAUGUCGGAUUAGCUAGUUGGCGGGGUAAAGGCCCACCAAGGCGACGAUCCGUAGCUGGUCUGAGAGGAUGAUCAGCCACACUGGAACUGAGACACGGUCCAGACUCCUACGGGAGGCAGCAGUGGGGAAUAUUGGACAAUGGGCGCAAGCCUGAUCCAGCCAUACCGCGUGGGUGAAGAAGGCCUUCGGGUUGUAAAGCCCUUUUGUUGGGAAAGAAAAGCAGCAGGUUAAUACCCCGCUGUUCUGACGGUACCCAAAGAAUAAGCGCCGGCUAACUUCGUG
rnacentral:rRNA from 1 species